rnacentral:rRNA from 1 species
AUGCGGAACCCGAGGGUUCGGCAUAAGGCGCAGGAGGAGGUCCGGUGAGCGAUGGCCGGCCACAGCAAGGUGACGGAGGACGGCCUCGGCAACCUCCACUACCCGCACAUGGUCGUCAAGGAGUCUCUCCGGCUGCACGUGCCGGGCCCGCUGUUGACGCUCCGCCAGUGCAGGAGCCCGUGCCAGGUGCUCGGGUACGACGUGCCCGCGGGCGCCAUGGUGCUCGUUAACUCGUGGGCGAUCGCCAGGGACCCCGCGCACUGGGACGCACUGGAGGAGUUUCUGCCGGAGAGGUUUGACCAGGAGCAAGGUGGCGCCGGGAGGGACUUUAAGGGCACAGACUUUGAGUUCAUACCGUUCGGAGCAGGGCGAAGGAUGUGCCCGGGGAUGAUGUUUGGGCUGGCGCACAUCGAGCUCGCGCUCGCCGCGUUGCUGUUCCACUUCGACCUGGAGCUGCCUGCAGGCGUGGACGCGGCGGGGUUGGACAUGACGGAGGAGGCUGGCAUCACCACGCGGCGGAGGUCCGAGCUUCUCGUGGUGGCCACCACGCUUGUUCCUGUACCAUAG